rnacentral:rRNA from 1 species
UACAGAGGUCUCAAGCGUUGUUCGGAUUCAUUGGGCGUAAAGGGUGUGUAGGUGGCGCGCUAAGUCGGGUGUGAAAUUUCGGAGCUUAACUCCGAAACUGCAUUCGAUACUGGCGUGCUUGAGGACUGGAGAGGAGACUGGAAUUCAUGGUGUAGCAGUGAAAUGCGUAGAUAUCGAGAGGAACACCGGUGGCGAAGGCGAGUCCCUGGACAACUCCUGACACUGAGGCACGAAAGCUAGGGGAGCAAACAGG